rnacentral:rRNA from 1 species
UACAUGGGGUGCAAACGUUGCUCGGAAUUAUUGGGCGUAAAGCGCGCGUAGGCGGUUACUCAAGUCGGAUGUGAAAUCCCCGGGCUCAACCUGGGAACUGCAUUUGUGACUGCAUCGCUGGAGUGCGGCAGAGGGGGAUGGAAUUCCGCGUGUAGCAGUGAAAUGCGUAGAUAUGCGGAGGAACACCGAUGGCGAAGGCAAUCCCCUGGGCCUGCACUGACGCUCAUGCACGAAAGCGUGGGGAGCAAACAGG